rnacentral:lncRNA from 1 species
AGCAUUAUCAAAACGCGUGUCAUCUCCUUUCCUUGCCACCGCCCUAAACACGCAUCGCAAACUCCAUUCAUUCUUUAUGGGUAAACCCACACAGAUCACCCAACCUCACAAACGUCUCCCUAGGAAGCAAAGUGACUACCCCGGCGACCCCUCACUGUCACGGCGGGGCGAUACCCAUUGUCUAUUUAGGGGUAUCAGGUCGUCAAAUUCAGAUUGAAGAACGAGUACAGAGCUACUGGAAACGAUUAGGGUUCGUCAAUUCAUCCAGCUAAAAUUUUCGAAUCCUAUCAACUUUUGGUUUUGUUUUCUCAGGUUAUACGAUAUUUGAAGCACGGAUGGUGAACAAGCGAUUAGGGUUCGUUAAUUCAUCGUGAGACGGUUUUGAUGCAGAAGUUUUAGGUUUACUGAGCAUUUCUCAUCUAGCCAUGAAUAGGAGAACUGGGCUCUUAAAUUUUUGUUGAUGUCGAAGUAAAGAGGUUGUCGAAUAUUGGAUUUUAUCUAAAUAAAGUCAAAAGGGCGAGGGUAAACGACAGAUCCGGUGACCCAAACAGUGGAGAUAAUCGAGUGGAACAUGGACAGCCGCACCUGCCGGCGAUGGUAUACGACAGAUCCGGUGACCCAAACAGUAGAGAUAAUUGAGUGGAACAAGAACAGCCGCACGUGUCGGCGAUGAUGGUGCUCCGGAUGGUUUUGGUGUAAUAGAGUUGGAGAAAUGGUUGGAACUCAAUAGCGGGCCAAACGGACUAAGUUUCUAUUGACAGAUUCAAACGGGUUCGCAAACCGAACACCCGAAAAGGUAUAAACCAUUCACAUUGAACUCUAUGAACAUGAUAAUAUAUUUAGGCAUGAUUUUAUAAUUAGACGAUUUAUAUAUUAUGAAUUUGCAACAUGUUGCUGCAUGUGUGUUGUAAGUUUGGCAGAGGUUGUUGUUUAUGCUUUCUUCGUUUGUACCCUUGCAUAUCCUAUUUGUACUGUCUUACAAAGUUGACGCGUGUACUCUGAGGCUCGCGUGCUUUUGUGAAGCGUAAUUUAUCUUGAUCGGAGUCUUCAGUAACCUGUAACCUGAUUGGUUUCCCCUCUUUUAUGAUUUGCUCCGUGUUGUUUAUUUAGGGUUUCUGAUGAUGGUUGGUGGUUUUCAUAUGUUGGUCGACUUACUUAGCUAUUUUCAACAGAUGACUCAUCCGGCUGCUGUGGAAAAUGUUAAAAGAGAAGUAAAUAUAAUGCAAGCUUUAAGUGGACAUGAAAAUGUGGUUCAGUUUCAUAAUGCCUAUGAAGAUACUAUGUGUACAUAGAUAUGGAGUUAUGUGAGGCUGGUGGGCUGUUUGACCAUAUAAUAUUGGCUUUUUUGGUUAAACCAAUUAGUUUUUUAUUAAAUUUUAUAGCGAAUACAAUUUGUAUAGCUUUGUUUUGUACAUCCUUCAUAUAUAGGCUAGGCGAUUCUACUAUAGAACAUGAUGUAACAAACACUUGGUUUUUAUUACGUAUGAUGCAUAUGAAUGGAUCCCCGCCGCAUCGCGGCGGGUGAUAAAUCUAGUUUUGAUUAUGAGUGUUCAUCAUAAUUUCAAAACAUCACCAAAUUACAAAAUUUGACAUAGCUUACGAUCCCCUCGACUUGGUGAUCGUUUGUACGUGUUCAUGCAUUUGAUUUGAGCUAGUCUUGGCCUUCAAUUUGGUGAAUUUGGGUGAGCUAGGGUUUGGAGCUCUUGCUCCUUCUUCUGACCGUAUACACGC